rnacentral:rRNA from 1 species
UACGAAGGGGGCUAGCGUUGCUCGGAAUGACUGGGCGUAAAGGGCGCGUAGGCGGCAUACACAGUCAGAUGUGAAAUUCCUGGGCUCAACCUGGGGACUGCAUUUGAUACGUGUAAGCUAGAGUGGAGAAGAGGGUCGUGGAAUUUCCAGUGUAGAGGUGAAAUUCGUAGAUAUUGGAAAGAACACCGGUGGCGAAGGCGGCGACCUGGUCUUUAACUGACGCUGAGGCGCGAAAGCGUGGGGAGCAAACAGG